rnacentral:rRNA from 1 species
CAGCAGCCGCGGGAAUACGUAGGUGGCAAGCGUUGUCCGGAAUUAUUGGGCGUAAAGGGCUCGCAGGCGGUUUCUUAAGUCUGAUGUGAAAGCCCCCGGCUCAACCGGGGAGGGUCAUUGGAAACUGGGAAACUUGAGUGCAGAAGAGGAGAGUGGAAUUCCACGUGUAGCGGUGAAAUGCGUAGAGAUGUGGAGGAACACCAGUGGCGAAGGCGACUCUCUGGUCUGUAACUGACGCUGAGGAGCGAAAGCGUGGGGAGCGAACAGGAUUAGAGACCCCUGUAGUCCCUGUCUCUUAUAC